UGACCUCGGAUCAGGUAGGAAUCCCC
rnacentral:rRNA from 2 species